rnacentral:rRNA from 1 species
GACGAACGCUGGCGGCGCGCUUAACACAUGCAAGUCGAACGGAAAGGCCUGCUUUCCCUUGUGGAUUGCGGGUACUCGAGUGGCGAACGGGUGAGUAACACGUGAGUGAUCUGCCCCCAACUUGGGUAUAAGCCUGGGAAACUGGGUCUAAUUCCCGAUAGGACUGCAGGGUGGUGCCUGUGGUGGAAAACGAUUUUCUAGUGGUUGGGGAUGAGCUCGCGGCCUAUCAGCUUGUUGGUGGGGUAAUGGCCUACCAAGGCGGCGACGGGUAGCCGGCCUGAGAGGGUGGACGGCCACAUUGGGACGGAGAUACGGCCCAGACUCCUACGGGAGGCAGCAGUGGGGUAUAUUGCACAAUGGGCGGAAGCCUGAUGCAGCGACGCCGCGUGGGGGAUGACGGACUUCGGGUUGUAAACUCCUUUCGACCGCGAGGAAGCCACCUGGUUGGAAGGGUGGUGACGGUAGUGGUAGAAGAAGCACCGGCUAACUACGUG